rnacentral:rRNA from 1 species
GAUGAACGCUAGCGGCAGGCUUAAUACAUGCAAGUCGAGGGGUAGCAAGAUUGUAGCAAUACAAUUGUUGACGACCGGCAAACGGGUGCGGAACACGUACACAACCUUCCUACAAGUGGGGAAUAGCCCAGAGAAAUUUGGAUUAAUACCCCGUAACAUAGCGAUGUGGCAUCACAUUGCUAUUAUAGCUUCGGCCCUUUUUGAUGGGUGUGCGGCUGAUUAGAUAGUUGGCGGGGUAACGGCCCACCAAGUCUACGAUCAGUAGCUGAUGUGAGAGCAUGAUCAGCCACACGGGCACUGGGACACGGGCCCGACUCCUACGGGAGGCAGCAGUAAGGAAUAUGGGACAAUGGACGCAAGUCUGAUCCAGCCAUGCCGCGUGAAGGAUUAAGGUCCUCUGGAUUGUAAACUUCUUUUAUAAGGGACGAAAAAAGGUCUUUCUAGAUCGUCUGACGGUACCUUAUGAAUAAGCACCGGCUAACUCCGUGCCAGCCGCCGCCGUAACAC